rnacentral:rRNA from 1 species
GAUGAACGCUGGCGGCGUGCCUAAUACAUGCAAGUCGAGCGAACAGACGAGGAGCUUGCUCCUCUGACGUUAGCGGCGGACGGGUGAGUAACACGUGGAUAACCUACUUAUAAGACUGGGAUAACUUCGGGAAACCGGAGCUAAUACCGGAUAAUAUAUUGAACCGCAUGGUUCAAUAGUGAAAGACGGUUUUGCUGUCACUUAUAGAUGGAUCCGCGCCGCAUUAGCUAGUUGGUAAGGUAACGGGUUACCAAGGCAACGAUGCGUAGCCGAACUGAGAGGGUGAUCGGCCACACUAGAACUGAGAAACGGUCCAGACUCCUACGAGAGGCAGCAGUAGGGAAUCUUCCGCAAUGGGCGAAAGCCUGACGGAGCAACGCCGCGUGAGUGAUGAAGGUCUUCGGAUCGUAAAACUCUGUUAUUAGGGAAGAACAAAUGUGUAAGUAACUAUGGACGUCUUGACGGUACCUAAUCAGAAAGCCACGGCUAACUACGUG